rnacentral:rRNA from 1 species
AGACAGAGGGUGCAAACGUUGUUCGGAAUUACUGGGCGUAAAGCGAGUGUAGGCGGUUUCCUAAGUCGGGUGUGAAAGCCCCGGGCUCAACCCGGGAAGUGCACUCGAAACUGGGAGGCUAGAGUAUCGGAGAGGUUGGUGGAAUUCUCGGUGUAGAGGUGAAAUUCGUAGAUAUCGAGAGGAACACCGGUGGCGAAGGCGGCCAACUGGACGAAUACUGACGCUGAGACUCGAAAGCGUGGGGAGC